GAAUAAGGACCAGGCAGAAUCGGGCUGCUGCUCGCCUCACCAGCCGGGGGAGUGGGGUACUCGCUGCUGGGGCCAGCAGCUUUAGCCCAGCUCCGGCCAACCUUCCAUGCCUCUUGGCUCACCAGGUCGCCACCCAGUUCAAGAUGAGCCUCCUGCAGCUGGUGGAGAUCCUGCAGUCUAAGGAGCCCGCCUACGUCCGCUGCAUCAAGCCUAAUGAUGCCAAACAGCCCGGCCGCUUUGACGAGGUGCUGAUCCGGCACCAGGUGAAGUACCUGGGGCUGAUGGAGAACCUGCGCGUGCGCAGAGCCGGCUUUGCCUAUCGCCGCAAAUACGAAGCUUUCCUGCAAAGGUACAAGUCACUGUGCCCAGAGACAUGGCCCACGUGGGCAGGACGGCUGCAGGAUGGGGUGGCUGUGCUGGUCCGACACCUGGGCUACAAGCCAGAAGAGUACAAGAUGGGCAGGUGGGUAGUGUCUGUGCCGGGUCCCUGCAGGGAAUGGGAGUGGCAACCCUGGGCUGAUCACUGCUGCUCUCCCAGGACCAAGAUCUUCAUCCGCUUCCCCAAGACCCUGUUUGCCACAGAGGAUGCCCUGGAGGUCCGGCGGCAGAGCCUGGCCACAAAGAUCCAAGCUGCCUGGAGGGGCUUUCACUGGCGGCAGAAAUUCCUCCGGGUG
rnacentral:sRNA from 1 species